GGUUCCGUGGCUCAAUCCGAUAGAGCAGCCCCCUCCUAAGGGGAGAAGCUGCAGGUUCGAAUCCUGCCGGGGUCGCCA
rnacentral:tRNA from 1 species